CAGGAUAAUUGAACCAGAUCCUCAGCGGAUGUAAAUUAGCCUUGCUCUGUUGGAAGUUCCAUGGUUUGUGCAGAUCCAGCAUUUGUGGGCUUGUACGUGGCAGUGUUGAACGUGCUGUGAGCGCACCGAGUAUCUGUUCCCCUGGAUAUUUCACAGGAUUAUUAAGUUAAACAGCUGGGAAGUGGAGGGAGAGCUCAACAUGCAUCCUAAUAGGGAUGUCUGCAGAAAAAAUGGCUAUCAGGAUAAAUUUGAUGGUGCCCGAGGACCAACAAACCUUCCCAUGGAUGUUGUGGAUAUUCAGACAGCCUGUUGCCAGUCUCACCAGCACACAAGGUUUAUGAACAGCCCAGAAGGUGCUUCAUCAACCCUUCCAGACACAAAUACACCUUGCUGGAAGGGGCUCUGUACAUUCUCCCAUCAGAAUUAAUAUUUCUGUGGACUCCACGGGAUGUGAGGCCCCAGCCUACUGCUACCCAAGGUGUGACUUUCCCUCUAUGCUGCUAUCUGUGGGGCUGGGAAGGGUGAAAAAGGAGGGGGGACAUGAGGAGC
rnacentral:lncRNA from 1 species